rnacentral:tmRNA from 1 species
GGGGGUGAAAGGUAUCGACUUUUGUAGUUGAAGUAGAAGAAGCGAGCCGUGGUCUCCGAAGCCACGUUAAAGAGUCGGAAAAAUAAAUAAACGCCGAGCAACCGCUCGCAAUCGCUGCUUAAUCACAGCGACGUCUUGCCUAUUUAAGUUCAACGAAUAGGAUCAGGGCGACAUCUAGUUGAACUGGCUUCAAAGGCUUUUCUAGCUUGCCUGCGAAGGACUCUUAAGCUAGAUAGGUUUUGGUUCUCAUGCUGGUUUGAGUGCCAUUACUGAAAUUUAAAAACUAGAUGCGCUCGGAGAAUAGCUACUGAAAUACUGAAGGACGCGGGUUCGAUUCCCGCCACCUCCACUC